rnacentral:rRNA from 1 species
UGGGGAAUAUUGGGCAAUGGGCGAAAGCCUGACCCAGCAACGCCGCGUGAAGGAAGAAGGUCUUCGGAUUGUAAACUUCUUUUAUGAGGGACGAAGGACGUGACGGUACCUCAUGAAUAAGCCACGGCUAACUACGUGCCAGCAGCCGCGGUAAUACGUAGGGAGCAAGCGUUAUCCGGAAUUACUGGGUGUAAAGGGAGUGUAGGCGGGACUGUAAGUCAGAUGUGAAAUAUGCCGGCUCAACUGGCAGACUGCAUUUGAAACUGUGGUUCUUGAGUGAAGUAGAGGUAAGUGGAAUUCCUGGUGUAGCGGUGAAAUGCGUAGAUAUCAGGAGGAACAUCAGUGGCGAAGGCGGCUUACUGGGCUUUAACUGACGCUGAGGCUCGAAAGCGUGGGGAGCAAACAGGAUUAGAUACCCUGGUAGU